UCUUGAACUCCUGACCUUGUGAUCCGCCUUCCUUGGCCUUCCAAAGUGCUGGCCUCACAGGCAUGAGCCACCAUGCACAACCGACAAAUCACUAUUUAAACUUCAGAAUUAGCCUUGACAACAGUUGAUUUUGUUGAUAUGCAUGAUCAUGAUUAUGAUUCCCAUAUGAUUAGUUACUGGUUUUAUACUUACCCCAAGCUUAUCAAAAUUAUCAUCAGGAAGUAAACCCAUCAACUUAUUUAGCCCAAAGCUUCUCAAACUUGCAUGAGCAUACAGAUUACCUAGGGAUCUUGUUAAAAUGAAGAUUAUUUUUGGUAGGAUUGAGGUUGGGGCCUGGGAGUCUGCAUAUCUAACUGCUUUGGGUGAUGCUUACGCUGCUGAGCUUGCACACUACACCUUUGGAGUAUAAGCACAGAAUUUUAAUUUUUGUCCCAAAUACAUAAUAAUUUAUAUAAAGUUAAAACUAUAGUGUACAAACUAUUUGUGGUCUGUGCUUUUUUACACUUAGCCUUUUUCCCUGUUUUCUGCAUAAUUUUUAUAAUUAUGAUUUAUAUAAACCAUAAAGGUAAUAUGACAUCUAGGAAUAUACAUCUAUUCUCAGUUAUUUUCCCAUUCUAAAUAACGCUGGAUUUAUUUCCUCUGGGCAUAUAGCUUUUGCUAUUUAAUUAUCUCCUUAAGAUAAAUUCCCAGAGCAAUUACCAGGUCAAUGGGUAAGAAUAUCUUUGCUGUUUAAUGGGUAAAGUUUUGCAAGAUGAAAAGAGCUCUAGAGAUGGAUAGUGAUGAGAGUUGCACAACAACAUGAAUGUACUUAAUACCAAUGAGUACCAUUCAAAAUGGUUAUGAUGGAAAAUUUCAUGUUAUGUGUAUUUUACCACAAUGAAAAAAUUUUUAACUAUAAAGAGAAGGGAGGAGCCCCGCCCCCUUGCAGAGACCACACAGUGGGCAGAGUCAGGCGCCGCCAGGUUAGCAACCGGAAGUCAGAAGUCCGGAGCAGCGCAAGAGCAUCUGUUACCCUCUCUUCUCAGAUACCCACCAGAAGUGUUGGAAGAGAGCAAGCAGAUUUGAACCUAUCUGCUUUCAAGCUGGUCAUCAUGAUGAAACUUAGAAACAAAAGUGAAAAGCCAGGUAAAGGUUCCAAAGGUGGUAAGAAGCCCGCAAAACAAAAUGGGAAGAAAGCAACCUCCAAAGUGCCCUCUGCUCCUCAGUUUGUUCACUCCAACGAUCAUGCCAAUCUAGAGGGUGAACUGAAGGAGAGGGUUGAGGAAAUGAGGGAGAAGCAGCAAGCUGCCUGGGAGCAAGAAAGAAAGAACACAGGUCUAUCAAGAGCUACUGUGAGAAUAUUCUAAGACGCCAGGAGGAGCUUAAGGGGGAAGUUUUGUAGGAAUUAAGUACGUUUCCUCAGCUGGGUGACGAGAUCAGAAGGAAGGCCUAUUACAAGGAGUCCCGUAGGUGGUAGAAUAUUCAUGUGAUUCUGGAAGUCCUGGAUGCCAGAGACCUAUUAGGCUGCUGCUGCCUCCAAAUGGAGGCUGCCUUCCUAUGGGCAGAAGGCAGCAAGAAGCUGGUCCUGGUCUUGACCUGGUCCCCAAGGAAGUUGUGAAGUAGCUGGAUUACCUUCAGAAUGAGUUGCCAACAAUGGCUUUCAAGGCUGGGAUCCAGCAUCAGGUCAGCUUUGGAGCUAAAAACCUCAUGAGCGUUCCAGGAAACUAUCGCCACCUUGGUGAAGUGCGCACUGACAUCCAAAUGGGCAUUGUGGGCCUUCUCAGUGUUUGGAAGAGCAGCCUGAUUAAUAGCCUGAAGUGCAGCCAUGCAUGCAGUGUGGGAGCCAUUCCUGGGGUCAUGAAAUUCACAAAGGAGGUCUACCUGGACAAGUUCAUCCUGCUGCUGGAUGCUCCAGGCAUUGUCCCAGGACCCAACUCAGAGGUGGGCACCAUCCUGCAUAACUGCAUCCAUGUGCAGAAGCUGGCAGACCCAUGACCCUGGUGGAGAUGAACCUGCAGCACUGCAACCUGGAGUGGAUUUCCAACUAUUACCGCCUCUCUAAGUUCCAGACCACUGAGCACUUUCUGACAACAGUCGCCCACCAUUUGGGAGAGAAGAAGAGAGGCUUAUACAGUCAGGAGCAGGAAGCCAAAGCAGUCCUAGCUGACUGGGUGAACAGGAAGAUCAGCUUCUAUAGACCACCACCACCCACUCACACUCUUCCCGCCCAUCUCAGCACUGAGAUCUUUAAGGAAAUGACCGAGGUCUUUGACAUUGCGAACACCAAGCAGGCCAAUGAAGACACCAUGGAAUGCUUGUCCAUUGGAGAAUCUGAUGAGCUGUUGAGUGACACAGACCCAUUGGAAAUGGAGAUCAAAUCGCUCCAUUCUCUGAUGAUGAAAAUAGCAGAUGCCAUUGAAAAUAAGGAGAUUUCACUGGGUAUUGCACCAAUCCAAAUCAUCAUCAGAUGGUGUGGGCCAAACUCAAUGUAGACACCACACUAAAAACAACCGUAAAGUGAUGUCUGCCCAAUGGACUGCUGCCCAGUACUGCAGGGGAUCAUGGAGAUAGACCCUCUGCAACACAGCCAGGCUCUGGCAUCCUCCCUGAAGAAUAAGAAGAUGAUGCAGCAACGGGCAGAUAAAAUCACCAGGGAGCUGUCUGAUUCCCUGAUGUCUGCCCUUGACCUCUCUGGCAAUGCUGAUGAUAGUGUUGGUGACUAAUUGACUGAUCUCACUUCCCUUCUUCUCCAAGCACCAGUUCCAGUGGGAUGGGGCAUGACCAGUGAAAUAGUUUGGUUCUCCCUGAAGCAUCUGCAUAUUAAAAGAAUCCUUCCCCAACUAUGUGUCUUUUCUACUCUCUGCAGUAAAAAGAGCCCC